CGGGUGAGUAACACGUGGAUAACCUACCUAUAAGACUGGGAUAACUUCGGGAAACCGGAGCUAAUACCGGAUAAUAUAUUGAACCGCAUGGUUCAAUAGUGAAAGACGGUUUUGCUGUCACUUAUAGAUGGAUCUGCGCCGCAUUAGCUAGUUGGUAAGGUAACGGCUUACCAAGGCAGCGAUGCGUAGCCGACCUGAGAGGGUGAUCGGCCACACUGGAACUGAGACACGGUCCAGACUCCUACGGGAGGCAGCAGCC
rnacentral:rRNA from 1 species